UACGUAGGGUGCAAGCGUUGUCCGGAAUCAUUGGGCGUAAAGGGCGCGUAGGCGGCCCCGUAAGUCUUGGGUGAAAGCCCUCGGCUCAACCGAGGAAUUGCCUUGGAUACUGCGGGGCUCGAGGCUGGAAGAGGGCAGUGGAAUUCCCGGUGUAGCGGUGAAAUGCGCAGAUAUCGGGAGGAACACCAAUGGCGAAGGCAGCUCGCUGGGACGGUACUGACGCUGAGGCGCGAAAGCGUGGGGAGCAAACAGG
rnacentral:rRNA from 1 species